UACGUAGGGCGCGAGCGUUGUCCGGAUUUAUUGGGCGUAAAGAGCUCGUAGGCGGCUUGUCGCGUCGACCGUGAAAACUUGGGGCUCAACCCCAAGCCUGCGGUCGAUACGGGCAGGCUCGAGUUCGGUAGGGGAGACUGGAAUUCCUGGUGUAGCGGUGAAAUGCGCAGAUAUCAGGAGGAACACCGGUGGCGAAGGCGGGUCUCUGGGCCGAUACUGACGCUGAGGAGCGAAAGCGUGGGGAGCGAACAGG
rnacentral:rRNA from 1 species